rnacentral:rRNA from 1 species
UACGGAGGGCGCAAGCGUUGUUCGGAAUCACUGGGCGUAAAGCGCGUGUAGGCGGCCGGGCAAGUCGGAUGUGAAAUCCCGAGGCUCAACCUCGGAACUGCAUUCGAAACUGCUCGGCUGGAGUCCCGGAGAGGAUGGCGGAAUUCCCGGUGUAGGGGUGAAAUCCGUAGAGAUCGGGAGGAACACCAGUGGCGAAGGCGGCCAUCUGGACGGUGACUGACGAUGAGACGCGAAAGAGUGGGGAGCAAACAGG